AGAGUAAGCAUAGGUAGUUGCAAAUUUUUGUACAAAUUUGAGGAAAGUCCGGUCUCUAUUUAAAAUAUAUAGCUAUUUAACAAAUAGUGUAAGCAAUUGCGAGGAAAGUGCCACAGAAAAAAACCGCCUAUAUAAAAUUUAGGUAAGGAUGCAAAGGUGUGGUAAGAGCGCACCAGAAGUAUUGUAAUAAUAUUUGCUUGGUAAACCCCAUAUAUAGAGUAAAGUAAUUUUGAUUAUAAUAAUUAUUAAUUGUUUAAAUCUGCAAGAAGUUAAUUAAGAUAAAUAACUCUAGAUGAAUAACUACCCUUUUUGUAUCUGUAUUUUUAUUAUAAUUACAAAUGAAGAACAGAAUCCGGCUUAAGACUUACUCUUUA